rnacentral:rRNA from 1 species
UACAGAGGGGGCAAGCGUUAUUCGGAAUUAUUGGGUGUAAAGGGCGCGUAGGCGGCCUGGCAAGUGGAAGGUGAAAUCCCUCGGCUUAACCGAGGAACUGCCCUCCAAACUGCUUGGCUUGAGUCCGGGAGAGGUGAGUGGAAUUCCCAGUGUAGCGGUGAAAUGCGUAGAUAUUGGGAGGAACACCAGUGGCGAAGGCGGCUCACUGGACCGGAACUGACGCUGAGGCGCGAAAGCUAGGGGAGCAAACGGG